rnacentral:rRNA from 1 species
GACAGAGGAUGCAAGCGUUAUCCGGAAUGAUUGGGCGUAAAGCGUCUGUAGGUGGCUUUUUAAGUCCGCCGUCAAAUCCCAGGGCUCAACCCUGGACAGGCGGUGGAAACUACCAAGCUGGAGUACGGUAGGGGCAGAGGGAAUUUCCGGUGGAGCGGUGAAAUGCGUAGAGAUCGGAAAGAACACCAACGGCGAAAGCAGGUCACUGGGCAGUUACUGACACUGAGGCACGAAGGCCAGGGGAGCAAACGGG